UGCGUAGGGUGUAAGCGUUGUCCGGAAUUAUUGGGCGUAAAGAGCUCGUAGGCGGUUUGUCGCGUCUGCUGUGAAAACCCGAGGCUCAACCUCGGGCCUGCAGUGGGUACGGGCAGACUAGAGUGCGGUAGGGGAGAUUGGAAUUCCUGGUGUAGCGGUGGAAUGCGCAGAUAUCAGGAGGAACACCAAUGGCGAAGGCAGCUCGCUGGGACGGUACUGACGCUGGAGACGCGAAAGCGUGGGGAGCAAACAGG
rnacentral:rRNA from 1 species